CUGUAAGCUGCGCGGUCUCCCUCUCCCAUCUCAACAACCUUCCUGUGUGCGGCUUCCCUCUCGGAUCUGCACAACCCCCUUGUUGAGAAGAGGCAGCAGGAGCAGUGUGGGCGGUCAUUGCCCUAUUUUACAGAUGAAGAGUCAGGGCAUUUAAACAAUUUGGUAUGGAUCUAUACAUAAGAGGGUGGAAGAGGCCAGAGGAGACCUAGACCUACUUAUCUAAAACCCAGUCACUGAUGCUGGGACACAGAACUGUCCUUCCUCGUCUGCCCCCUCCCUGCUCACGCUGUAUUGGUGGAGACCUUGUCUCUCUUGGUGCCGUGGGAACAGCGCUGGGCCCACCCAUCAAGGGCUCCCUGGAAGCGUGCUGAGCGUGUGGCAUGAGGAAAGAGUCACCAGCCACCCACGUUGCCUCCACACUGGGUGUCAUUGUGACCUUAGCAGACAACAGGGUCCUCCCGAGGAGAGAACACAGUAGGCACACUGGAUGUGGGGAGAGGGUCCAAAAGCCCCAAGCAGGGGGCAGGUCUGGGCAGAGGAGAAGGCGCUGUGUCUGUGGUGGCACUGGAUGCCUCGGAAGGUGUGUGGCCUCCCUCCAUGGCUGCCCAGGACCCAGGGUGCUGACCGUCUCUCCUGGAGUAUGGCAGGGCCCAGGGGGCUGAGGCAGGGCCCCUUUUGGCAAAUUCUUCACUCAUAGAGGUUUCAUGUCUUUCUCUGUAAAAUGAGGAUGCGAACAUAGUUUGUCUUUCAGGAUAGCUGUGAUUAGAACACGUGUGUAAAGCGCCUGUCAUGGCAGCGUCCUUCUCCUGGCGGCAAGUCUUCACUUGCAAAACAAGUCCUUUUAGGAACAGGCUUUGUGACAGCUGCUGCUAUCCAGUCAUCUUUAGAGCCCUGGAGUCCUCGCCAAGGGCACGGGCUCCCUUUGUGGUCCUGGAAUAAUGGGGCCUGCCUGGCACUCUCAGAUUGCGUGGGGAUCCGCUGGACUUAGGAUUCUGCCUAGAGAAUAAGUGGUUGUUCUGCUUACCUGGUAACAUGUGUACCCAGAUCCACACUAUCAUGGGCCCUCACAGCUUCCCCUGGAUAUAUGGCAGGAGGAAUGUGCUGCUCAUUCUUGAAAUUCACUUCCCCGGAAGACAUGGCAACCAUGAACACUGGAUCAGAGGUGGGGAAGCUGCCUGGCUUCCACUGGGCCCCACCCAUCCACCCAUCUUGGCCUCCUCAUUCUCUCUGUCCAUGGGUGGUGACAAGCUUUGCCUUGACCUGAGCCCAUGUACCUAGGUUUGCACCUUCUCUGGAGUGAAAGAGGAGAUGAGUUAUUUUAAUCUUGAAGAUCCCAGGUCAGAACAUCAGUUUUCUAGUCCAAGCGCUGCCUCACUGUCUUCAUUUAUAAAAUGAGAGAGGGGAUGCACUGUUCCCCAAAUCUGAGACCCAGGGUGUACACGAUUGGAGCCAAGUCUCACAGCUGGGGAGGAGUGGCUCUGGCACUUGAGUUCAGUUUCUCUGGCUCCAAAUCUGUAGGGAGUGGGGGUCUCCCUUAGAUAAGUAGGUUAAGAUCCUUUUGUGAUUCAUAAGCGUGAUGAUUGGGUUUUCAUGCUCAUGUGUGAGAUAUGCCUCUCUCAAGCCUUGUUACAACAUCACAUUACCUGUCUGAUGUUACAAAAAAAAAAAAAAAAAAAGAGAAGAGAAGAAUAACAAGAACAACCACAGAAAGCCCCUCAUCAUCUCUCUGGGGCGUGCAGUGGGGCCGUUUCCACGGGGGCGGGCCUCAGAGCCCUCUGACUGAUUCUUCUGGAGCACAGAGCCCCACCAUGCUGAUGUUCCGUGCGCUGGUCUGGGAUGGUUCCCGCGCUCACAGCCUGGUGUGGUCAGCAGCAGGGUUUCAUUCAGGUCUCUCCUUCCUGACCACACUGAGAGACCUGCAGGCAGAGGCUGACCUGAGUCACCUUUAGGGUCCCCAGUUCUUACAGGGGAUGUCUGCUCACUUAGGAGACGGCCCUGUCCCCAAGCACCCCCUAUGCCCUCCAGAACGGAGAAGACACGCAAUUCUUCAUUUGGGUUAUGUGAAAUGUUGGCCCCUCACUGUGAUACGGAAGGGAAACAGGGAGGCACUGGGUAGAAGACCGAGGUUCCCUGGCAAAGGCCUCACCCUCAAGCCUGAAGACCUGAGGACCUAAAUGAGGACAGGCAUUUCUGUUUUUGCACCUAAAAAGUUGCCUUCUGGUCUGCUAUGCCCCAUAUCCUGUCCCCGUAUAAACCCAAGGGCACACAUGCAAGUGGCUGAACAUCAGGACCAGCAGACCAGUGAAGGCAGAACAACAAGGCAGAGAAAGAGAAAAGCGGAGGGACACCUGGAGGCUGAGGGGAGUUCAGCCAGAGGUGGCUAGAGAAAAGUCCAGCACUGGACAGCCCGGUUCCAGGGGAAGACCUCCUUCCCCUCCAUCACCUCCUUCCAGCUCCCCAUCCAUCUCGCUGAGAGCCACCUCCUCCACUCAAUAAAACCUUGC
rnacentral:lncRNA from 1 species